GCCGACUUAGCUUAGUUGGCAGAGCACCCGCUCAGUAAGCGGGAGGUCGAGGGUUCGAACCCCUCAGUCGGCU
rfam:Emiliania huxleyi CCMP1516 EMIHTscaffold_326_Cont6791, whole genome shotgun sequence.